UAGCCUCUGGCUAUAGGAAAUUGUUAGUGGCAGACGGGUGAGUAAUGCGUAGGAAUCUACCUAGUAGUACGGAAUAGCCAUUAGAAAUGGUGGGUAAUACUGUAUAAUCCCCGAGGGGGAAAGAUUUAUCGCUAUUAGAUGAGCCUACGUUAGAUUAGCUAGUUGGUGAGGUAAUGGCUUACCAAGGCUAUGAUCUAUAGCUGGUCUGAGAGGACGAUCAGCCACACUGGAACUGAGAUACGGUCCAGACUCCUACGGGAGGCAGCAGUGGGGAAUAUUGGACAAUGGGCGAAAGCCUGAUCCAGCUAUGCCGC
rnacentral:rRNA from 1 species